rnacentral:lncRNA from 1 species
AGGCAGGUGUUACACUGCUGGGAAUGAAAAGCCUGGAGAGAGCUAAACUCCUAGUGAGAUUGGAGAUAGAGGAAAAAGGGUCCCAGGAUUGACUUGGAGCAGAGCAACCCAAAGCUCCUUCUACACCUCUUUACUACCACGUCCUCUACCGAAGACGUGGAGAAACCCAGGUAAGCUGGCACGGAGAAACAUACUGCCUGAUUGGUAACUACCGUUCUUAUGGGGAUGCUGCCAUCACCACCCCAGUAAAGGUUAAAGAAGAGAAACCAGCAUCCAAGUGGCCCUAUGAGGAUGCUUCCAUGGUUAGUCCAGUAAUGACCAAACCCAAGAAGCCAGCAUCCGUACACGCUCUCAAAAGACCUCGAUUUAUGGAAGAAUAUAACCAACAGUCAGAGUUCCCUAGCCCCAAAAUUCGCCACUUGAACACUGCUGACAAGACUGAAGAAUGGCUGAGCAAUUCUUUUGAGAAGAUGGACAUUAGAUAAAAGAGCUAAUACUUCUUAUUCAGUGACCUCCACUGCCUUCUUCUGGACUUUUUUUUUGGGUACUGGGAAUCGAACUCACAACCUUGCGCUUGCCAGGCAAGUGCUGCACCACUGAGCUAUAUCCUCAGCCCCACUGCCUUCUUCUGGAGAUAGAAACUAGAAAUUCUCCCUGAUCCCAAUUCAGUCAGGAUCUUUCUUUCCUACUAACAGCUAUAGGAAAGAUCCAGAAAUGGUGGUUGAAAGGAGGAGCUGCUUUGGACAUCCAGGGCUUAACCUGCUAGAAACACUAAUGUUCCUCCUCUCAAUCCUCCAAAGUUCCUUCUGGUACAGAAGUAACCAUGUGUGCAUUCUACAAGCCAAGGAGGAGUCAAGCGCAAAGCAGCCUCGCUGACGCCUAAUCUGCCAGCUGGAUUCCUGACCUCAAGCAUUGCCAGCAACCACAACACAGAUGCCAGACCAGAGAAGUCCUGGCCUUGUUGAGUUUACUCGCCACCAGAGACUACUUGAAGGAGGAGGAAGAAGGAACAUCACCAGCAAAACCUGGCCCAGUAGGGUGAAGAGGCUUCCCCCUAGGUCCAUACUGCAGACAAGCAGUGCUGCCCACCACCCCUCCUACACCUGUUUACUACCAUGUCCUCUACCGCGGAUGUGGAGAAACCCAGGUGAGCUGGCACGGAGAGACCUACUGCCUGGUUGGUGGCUACCGGACCUAUGGGGAUGCUGCCAUCACCACCCUAGCAAAAGCCACAGCCAUGAAGCCGGCACUGAGGUGGGUCUGUGGGGAUGCUUCCAUUGUCACCCCAGCAAAGGCUGAAACCCAGAAGCCAGCAGCCACAAGGUCUCUCAAAAGACCUCGAUGUAUGGAAGAAUAUAAGCAAAACCUAGGGGGCCCUAGCCCCAAAAUUCGCCAUGUGAACAAUGCCCACAAGACCCAACAAUAGAUUGCUGGUUGAACCACACUAUUAAGACGUGAGACAGUGGAUCUCGAAAGGAAUCUCUUACAGGGUAGCCUAGCAGAGGCCCAAUACAGUAUUCCAGAUGGACUGCUGACAUCAGUCAUAGCCAGCACCCACCAGCACAAAGAAGGACAAAAUGUAGCAGAGGCUACGCAGAGAACCUCACGCAUGUGCUCUCAGGAAGAUCCCACUGGGGCUUCCACCUCCUUUCUUCCCUGCCCUCAAUGUCCCCUGAGGACUUCUUACUGUUGAAUAAAGUGAUUUUUUAGAACAAUUUUUCACUGGAAAUUCAAUUUUUCCAAAACAAAUUCUCAACUGUUCUACUUCGCUUCAACUAUAUUCAUACUCAGGCCUUCUACCUUCAGAGGGGAUUUGUGGUUCCCAUUUCUGAUGGUAUGGUCCCUGAAAUGAUGCCUAGAAGACCUGGACCAAAGCCCAGGCCAGUUCUUAGAUAAAUGGAGAGCCUCAGUCUGAGGGUAUAGCUCAGUGGUAGACCAUGUCUUAACAUGUGUGAUGUUCUGUGUUUGAUCCCCAGUACCAUAAAAAGUAAAAAUGAAAAGAGUUUGUUGAGUGUUUCACUGUUGUAUGUGUAUAAGUGUAUGUUAUGAAAAGUGGGCCAGGGAUAAGAAAAUGCUGGACAGUCUAUACAUCUAUCUAUUUACUCAGUAAGUACUUCUGGGCAACUAUUUGAAAUCAGACAUUAUGCUAGUUCCUUGGGACAUAUUGGCCAAUGAGACAGUCAAGGCCCUGACCUAUGAGGGCCAAGUAACUCAAGGAUAAGAUGAGCAACAAACGCCUGGGUUUAUGGUUUGUGGGAGAUAGUCAAGUUGCAUUCUCCUGAGAAACAAAGCAUCUUUCUGUAACCUCUCUUUCAACCUUAUUCACUGAGAUAUGCAAAGCUGGCUAUAUUGGAGUGGAUGCUCCCUUAAUUGGCUAAAAGAAUGUUAUCAAGUAGGGGGAGGAGCCAACACGUCUCAUUACAGCAUGUGGGUGAGAAUUGCCCCCCUGCUGAUGGCUGGAAUGGGGACUCCAGCAAGAGCCUGUGAGAUUCCAGGGCUAAGACAUGAGAUAAGAUCUCAGCUGAGGCCAUGGGACCCAGAAAGAACUAUACCUUCUUGGCAGGAAAGGUGCCUGCUUGAUAUAGCUACUCUUGAAUAGCUAAUUGGAGCACCUUUGUGCCUGGUACAAAAUUGCUCUUGUUUCUCCUACAGCCAAUGUCUACAAAGUUUUUUUGCCCCAGCACUCUGCCGUGACCCCCGCCCACCUCCCUGAGUGAGACCAAUAAAAGCCAUGAGCUUUUGGACUCACGGCCUUUUGUUCCACAGAGAACAAUGGUUAUUUCAGAGCUGCUCAACUGUAGAACUUUCUCUCUUUGUCUUUAUUUUGCAUCUGUGUGCCAUAUUGCUGGGUGGGAGGUCUGAACCCUCCGUGGAGGUUUCAGGAAUGGUUAUACCUCAGUGCUAGGCUGCAUAGCAUAUGCAAGGCCCUAAUGUAACCCCCAUCAGUAUGAAUACAAAAAGAACCCCACAGAUUGAUGUUUGCUAUAAAGAAAAACAAAACAUUACAAAGAAAGAAUGAUGAAGGAAACUAUGUAAACAAUGCAAUCUGGGAAGGCUUCUUUAAAGAGGGGAUUUGCAGCAGAUAUGGGAUUGAGGGAGACAUGUGAGGAGCUGAAUCACAGCAUUCCUCGAAGAAAUGCAUGUGGAAACACCCUGAGGUAGAGCCAAGCAUAGUGGCUGUAUUAAUCACUAACACAUGACAACAAUAUCCAAAAUAACAGUAUAGAUUUGUUUUGGUUCAUUGUUCCAGUAGCUCCAGCCCGUAGUCAGUGGGCUCCUGUAGAACGAGCAUGGUGAAAGAAAAUGGAGGAGGGAAGCUGCUGACAGUAUGGUGGUAAGGAAGUAGCAAGUAAGAGAAGCCAGGGACAAAAAUACAGACUUCAUGGUGCUUUCCCCAGCUACCCACCUCCUUUGAUCUAUCUCGUAUAAAAAAAAGCCAGGUACUCAAAAUAGAUUAAUCCACUGAUGAGCACAGUGCCACCAUGAUUCAGUUACCUUCCCAAAUCACCUAUAAAUACAAGACUUUUAGAAUAUUAGAUCUAACCACAAGAGUGGUACAUACACAUAAUCCAAGCCUGAAGCAAGAGAAUCACAAAUUCUAGGUCAGGCUGCACUACACAAACAGAUUCUGCUUUUAAAAAUAGAAAAUAAAACAAAGUUAUAAGUCUCAAGAAAAGUUAAAAGCCUCUGAGCCAAGUGUGCCAUCACAGAACUGUAAUGCAAUUACUCUGGGAUGCUGAGGCAGGAAGAUCACAACGGUGUUGCCAACUAGCUUGGGGUUCUUUUGCUUAAUUCAUGUGGAAAUCAUAAAUUAGCAAAGUGCAGCUGUGCUAGCACUUCCAAUGUUACCAAGUGACACGAGGUAAUGCUGGAUGCCAACAAUUGAUGCAGCUGGCUGCUGGACACUGUCACUGACAUCAUCUGAUGCCAGUUUGUGCUGAAGACUAUAGGUCAGCUCUACUGUGUCUCCACCACUGCCAGCUAUCACUGUCCAGUGCCAGCUUGUGCUCAACACUGUAAGUCGACUUGGCCAGGUGCUGUCUCUCUCUGCUGCUGGUCUUUACUGACUGCUGGUCUCUGGAGUUCUUUGGUGUUAAUAGCUAUGUUUAUUUGCUCUGUCUACACUACUGAAAAUAAAACUCUUUAGCAGAUUUACCAGACUUCUGGAGCCCACACUACCUGA